UUUUGUAAUUCAUAAUUUGUGUCAUAUCUAUUGUCUAGAUUACAGAGCAUAUGUGUAUAAUGAUAUUAAUUAUAUGCUAAAUGUCCUACGAGGGGAAAAAAUGGUGAAUAAUAAUUCCUAUUAUUGUCUGUUCUAUAGGCAGACGAAUUUUUUUUUCAAUGAAAGUUAAAUUCAUGUUACAAAAUGUAUACUUGUUUGGAUCUAAAACUAAUUGAUACACAAAGGAUAAAUUUACUUUUUGACUGAAGCAGCAAAAAAUACAAGAAUUCAUUAAACAAGAAAGCUUCCGCUGAACUGGCAACAUAAAAAUGACAGAUAUAUUUAUGUCCACGUAACAACAAAGUUAUCCUUUUGACAUAUUAGGAUACAAACUAAAAAUUCUAUGACAGGAAGGAUAUGACAUUCUGCAGACAUAUAUGAAACAACUAUGUUAACAAAGGGAAAAUCUUUAGGAUAAGAAUGUAUAAAAGGAUUUUGUGCAAAUAUUAGCUAUAAACAGUCUUCGUUGAAUAUUGGAACUACCUGAAGACAGGACUACCACAUUCUUUAACUCUCAAAUCUGCAACUUUGUGUUUUUAUGAGAAAAAAACCAAACACAACAGAUUUAGAUAGUACAUGCCAUAGUAAAGAGUUAAAACAAGUAAAAUCAUAAAAAUGCUGAAUGAAGGUCACAUGAAUACGGGUUCAAAGAGGUCGAAUAAUUCACUUGCAAAUAAACUUGAACCGUACUGGCUGCUAGAAGCGAAUUAUUGUUUUACAUGUAUUUAGUCACCAGUAUUUAAUUGUAGUAUGUGAUCCAGGUGGGAAAUACAAGGAGAAUCGAAAAGGACACUGAUUUCAAGACAAAGUUGAGCUAUAAAGAAGCACGGUUGCCGUAUUUAGUUUAAUUUUGCGUUGUAUUAUUAAUGAGCAAUUAUAUUAUCUACAAAUUAUUACCAUAAACAUGCUGACAACAAGAAAGUCACACAGGGAAGUUAUUGUUCAAUAUCUAGGUCACUUAUGUAGAAACAUUCAAGUACUUGUCUCUUAGUUAAUUGUUUUGUUUUGUGUGCACACACAUGAACUUAAACGUAUUUAUUAAAGAGUUUUCAGUCUGGAGUUUUUCUUCGUUGUGUUAAAGUUAAAGCAACGGGAAGAUGUAACAUUGAGCUAACAAUAGGCAAACUUUAAGGAGAACAUUGACUGUUUAAUAUUUUAUAUACACGAUAAAUUAUCGGAAAACAGAAAAACACUUCUGGUUACUCCUACUUGACCUACUACAAGGACGUUUAACAACAUAAGAGUAUGUAUCCUAUCAUACAACUGAAAAUUGAGCUUCAAAAUCCUAAAGAAAAAGAACCUUUAGCAUGUCAAGUUCCACGAAAGUGCCAGCAUAAACACUGACUGAUAUAGCUUUGUACAUCUACGUAAAUACUGAUAUAUCUUUGGACAUUUCUGUUUUAUAUGGCAUAAAGAGUAGGGAAUGAAAUGCUCUAGACAAGCAAGGACAAUCUUUGCAAAUACAGGGAAAAGCAGAAUGUAUUAAAAGGUCACGGUAACAGUUCCGAUGUCGUCUGUUGACAACGUGUGUAAACAACUUCUAAGUAACAGCUCGUCGCUCAGAAGAAAGGAAGGUUUAUCAUAAAGGAUAAAUACAUGCGUUCUUUUAAAAUAAAGAAUAUGAAUAGCUUCAGCCUGAAAGUUCACACAGUAUUGAACGAUUCUCAACUUAUAAAGUCAUAUGAUAUAAGUUUUCGGAAGUUGGAGAAAUUCGGCAUCCGAUCACAGUGAUCUUUCGUAUGACGAAACCUGGAAAGAAGGUCGACGGCUAGCUCUGGCUGAUCACCUACCACAGAAUAUGUUCGUUAAGGGUAAAUCCCCUGCGGAUACUGUCUGUGAACGGAAAUACGAACUUCAAAGCUUGAACCAGGAGGGCAUUUUGUCCAUACCAUAUGAUGGCAUAUCGUUGUAGCUGCAGUGCAUGUAACCUGCAUAUCAUACACGUUUAACAGUGUAGAAACGAGGGAAAACAUGGGACUGGUGAAUUUGUUAUCAAUUCAAAAGCUGUACAUGGAAUGAUACAUGCAGGAAUUUGUGCCACACAUUUCAACAAUUUCCUUAAUGGAUUGAAUGUACUUUCUGUGAAUUCACAGCCAUACUUAAAGAAAAAGGAGAAUGAAACUGGAAAGAAAAUAUUUGCAGUUGCAAAAGAAUCCUGUAAAUAAAUUCAAAAGAAGAAACAGUUUUAAACAUGGUUAAUUUAAUGAAUAAUUGGAAGGUCUCAUUGUCAUCAUUUAACAGCAGGUUAUUAGCAGCAGUUUUUCAGAAAAAUGAAGGAUAGCUGUGAAUGGUAAAUGCAGCAUCAGAAUAUUCCCUAGGAAAGUUUACCCAGAGAGUUUGGGAAAGUAUAAAUAAGAAAUUAGAGAGGGAAACAGAUAACCAGAAAACAAAGAUUUCAAAAGAAAAGAAUUGCCACUAAUAGUAAUAUGAUAUAUCUGACUGGGAGCAACAUGUACUAUUCAAUAUGGAAGGAUUGACAAUUUUGACUGAGAACAAAGUGAACUCUAAUAAUGCUAUGACUAUCAAUCAAUACUUGACUGAAACAGAGGAAUAAACUAUUUACAUAUUUGUAAAUAUAACAGUUAUAUGUUUGCUUGAUUAUUGAGGCAUUCAAAAUAAAGGAAGUUGAAAAACCUUUGAAAAAGUUAUAAUUUCAGAAUUUUUUGGUUACGUUACUAUGACAACUAAUAGUAAUAUGAUAUAUCUGACUGGGAGCAACAUGUACUAUUCAAUAUGGAAGGAUUGACAAUUUUGACUGAGAACAAAGUGAACUCUAAUAAUGCUAUGACUAUCAAUCAAUACUUGACUGAAACAGAGGAAUAAACUAUUUACAUAUUUGUAAAUAUAACAGUUAUAUGUUUGCUUGAUUAUUGAGGCAUUCAAAAUAAAGGAAGUUGAAAAACCUUUGAAAAAGUUAUAAUUUCAGAAUUUUUUGGUUACGUUACUAUGACAACUGAAAUAUAUAAUGUAUUGUCAUUAUGCUUCAUCAACUUAAAUCAUUUAUUGAGGAAAAGGUGACAAAGUCUUUUUAUCCAUUUACUUGUA